GUCAGGCGUUUUUCACAAAAAAAAAAAUCGACCAUGUAUAGUAAGGCGUUUUUAGCCGAAAAAAACCGACCAUGUAUAAUGAGGCGUUUCCAGCCGAAAUAAAAGACCAUGUAUAGUGAGGCAUUUUUAGCCGAAAAAAAACGACAAUGUAUAGGAAGGUGUUUUUAGCC